UUAGCUAUUAUUAGUUAUUAGGAUCUGUCGAAUUUCUCAGGAGUUUGUGUUUAGGCAGAAUCAUGUUAUGGCUAAAAUGAAUCCGAUAUCUCCAAUGAAGUUAUAUAGGAUUGCUUGAAGGGCUGCAGUGUUU